CCGGGGCGACCCUGCCUUCGGGCGGGGGCUCCGGGUGGACACUUCAAACUCUUGCGUAACUUUGCAGUCUGAGUAAACUUAAUUAAUAAAUUAAAACUUUUAACAACGGAUCUCUUGGUUCUGGCAUCGAUGAAGAACGCAGCGAAAUGCGAUAAGUAAUGUGAAUUGCAGAAUUCAGUGAAUCAUCGAAUCUUUGAACGCACAUUGCGCCCCCUGGUAUUCCGGGGGGCAUGCCUGUUCGAGCGUCAUUUCACCACUCAAGCCUCGCUUGGUAUUGGGCAACGCGGUCCGCCGCGUGCCUCAAAUCGACCGGCUGGGUCUUCUGUCCCCUAAGCGUUGUGGAAACUAUUCGCUAAAGGGUGCUCGGGAGGCUACGCCGUAAAACAACCCCAUUUCUAAGGUUGACCUCGGAUCAGGUAGGGAUACCCGCUGAACUUAAGCAUAUCAAU
rnacentral:rRNA from 1 species